GAUGAAGAACGUAGCGAAAUGCGAUAAGUAAUGCGAAUUGCAGAAUUCAGUGAGUCAUCGAAUCUUUGAACGCACAUUGCGCCCUGUGGUAUUCCGCAGGGCAUGCCUGUUCGAGCGUCACUUCAACCCUCAAGCUCUGCUUGGUGUUGGGCCCUGCCCGCUGCGGCCGGCCCUAAAGACAGUGGCGGUGCCGCCUGGCCCUGAGCGUAGUACAUCUCUCGCUCCAGUGCCCGGUGGUAGCCUGCCAGAACCCCAACUCUCGUGGUUGACCUCGGAUCAGGUAGGGAUACCCGCUGAACUUAAGCAUAUCAAUAAGCGGAGGA
rnacentral:misc_RNA from 1 species